ACAGUACAAUCCCCAAGGUCGUGCGCCGCCGAUGCCUACACCCACCUGGGUCCCCCAGACCAGUGCUCUUGCUCGCCACGCUCUGCGGCGUUCCCGUCGCGCUCGUCUGCGCCCCCGCCGCCUUCGGCGGCGCCGGGGCUCCGCGGCUCGUGUGGGAUUCGGAAGAGGGUGUCCUCGAGAGGUACCCCGCCGCCGCCAUCCCGCCGGAGACGCGCGCGCAGCACACGCGCCGGAGCUACCUCAUGGCCGAGCUGGGCAAGGGAACGACGAAGCUCGCUAGGGCGCGGCCGGGUGCGCUGCCCGACUGGGACGCGGCGCUCAACGACAUGACGGUGGACGAGGUGUGGAAGGUGCUCGAGACCAUCGACGCCACGUUGAGGGACGCGGCCGACAAGAUGGGUGCUCUCGGCUUGCCCGCCGACGGCCGGCUCGAUCUCGAACAGCUCACGUCGCUGGCUAUGACUACGCCUUGGAGCCGGGGCACCUCGCGCUGGACAUGGGUUACGAUGGCUUCCAGCCGCAGACGAUGUCGUGCCACGGCGGGAGCAACGACCAAGGGAGCCUACCCGAGGAAUUCCUGAUGCAACCGGAGCGCGGCCUCGAGUGCGUCGGCGGCGGCGGAAGCUACUACGCGGGCGCCGUCGACGAGACGCAGGCGCUGGGCGCACAAAUUCCACCCGAGAUAAUUGAUGUGGAAGCAACACUGCAGAUUGAUUAGUCUACAAACCAUGGCAAAGUUUUUCAGUAUCUCCCUAUUUAUCUGUAGUCAGACAAUGAAUCGUUGAGCGUUUGUAUCUUGCAGAGAACUGAGGCAGGAGCAGGACAAGAGAUGGCAGCAAUAACUGAAGUCAAGUCAUCUGUUUCUAUGGAUGUCGAGAAAAGUGAGGAAGUAUCUGUUUCUACGGAUGAGGAGGUAAAAUUUGAAUAGCUUAUGUGAGUUUUUUCUAGCAUGGUGUAUGCUGCAGCAAGUAUCAAAGUAUGCUCUAUCCUUCAGAUGUACACGUAGUAGAUUGGAAGCAGAAUAUGUGGUGCAAUGCUAUAAUAGAUGAAUUAUAUGACUGUGCUAAAAAAAUAUUAAUCACAAAUAAUAGCAUCAAUUUUUAUGCAUUGCUUUCUGAAUAAUUAUUUGAAUAAUCCGAUUAUAACAUUUUUGUUAUUUCAGGAAAUUGAUCUCAACAUCGAAUCAACCAAUGUUGAUGAUUUUGAUAAUAGGCCUCUAAAAUAGAACAAAAGUUCUAAAACAUGUGUUUUAGAUGAUCUAUCGUUUCGGAAUAUUCUAACUCUGUUAGUUUAGAAUUGAUGAAUGAAGAUCUAUUUUCUCCAUCACCAACUGGCCUUAUCUCCAAUUUCAGCGGAAGAUGAUAAACAUAUAACAAAUAAUUUAACAUACGAGUAUCUCCCACAAGGUAAAAUAUUGCAUUGUUUAUGUUUGUGUAUUUAUUCGACAUAUUUAGCGAGGAGCUUGUAAUCUUUUUGUUGGGAUUGAUUAUGUAGGUUGCGAAUAAACAAAUAUGUGACCAAUAUAUUGGUUUCUCCCGGUGCAACGCAUGGGCAAAUUUUG